rfam:Picea glauca, whole genome shotgun sequence.
UCUUAUGUACAUGCCUAUAGUGUUCAUGCAUUGGAUCCCAUCAAAACUCUACAAUUAAGUGAGCUAGGGCUAGAGUAGUACCAGGAUGGGUGACCUCACGAGAAGUCCUAGUAUUUUACAUGCC